rnacentral:rRNA from 1 species
CAUGCAGUCGAGGGGCAGCGCGGGUAGCAAUACCUGGCGGCGACCGGCAAACGCCNUUNGGAACACGUACAGAACCUUCCUUUAAGCGGGGGAUAGCCCGGAGAAAUCCGGAUUAAUACCCCAUAGUAUUAUUAGGUGGCAUCAUUUAAUAAUUAAAGAUUUAUCACUUAGAGAUGGCUGUGCGGCUGAUUAGGUAGUUGGUUGAGGUAACGGCUCACCAAGCCAUCGAUCAGUAACUGGUGUGAGAGCACGACCAGUCACACGGGCACUGAGACACGGGCCCGACUCCUACGGGAGGCAGCAGUAAGGAAUAUUGGUCAAUGGAGGCAACUCUGAACCAGCCAUGCCGCGUGAAGGAUGAAGGCCCUCUGGGUUGUAAACUUCUUUUAUCUGGGAAGAAAUGCAUUUUUUUUAGAGUGCUUGACGGUACCAGAGGAAUAAGCACCGGCUAACUCCGUGCCAGCAGCCGCGGUAAUACGGAGGGUGCAAGCGUUAUCCGGAUUCACUGGGUUUAAAGGGUGCGUAGGUGGGUUGGUAAGUCAGUGGUGAAAUCUCCGUGCUUAACAUGGAAACUGCCAUUGAUACUACUGGUCUUGAAUUUUCCGGAGGUAAGCGGAAUAUGUCAUGUAGCGGUGAAAUGCUUAGAUAUGACAUAGAACACCAAUUGCGAAGGCAGCUUACUACAGGAAAUAUUGACACUGAGGCACGAAAAGCGUGGGGGAUCAAACAGGAUUAGAUACCNUGGUAGUCCAC